AUAGUUAAUUUUUAAUACCAUGAUCACGGAGGUGGUUUUCCAGGGCCAGGCUUACCCAUCCCACUCCAGAGGUGCUGACCCCUGCGAUUUCCCCAAAUGUGGGAAACUCAACUGCGUAGUUUGUAGUAGUAGGGGACUGCGUUUGUGCUUUUCCCUU
ensembl:snRNA U1 U1 spliceosomal RNA